UCCCGCGACCGCUCUGCAACGGGGUAGGAUCCAAAAUCCUUCGAAGGUCACACAGGUUCCCCUACUCAACACCUAUUCCGUAACGUCAUUGUCGUGCAGAGUGGUAACGUGCACCACUGUAUAUCCAAGCUUGGGUAAACGGGCUAGACCCAACCCCUUGGGCGGAAGGAGGUGCACGGCAAAACGGGAAGGG
rnacentral:ribozyme from 1 species